CAAAUACUCCCUCUGUCCCAAAAUAAGUGUCUCAACUUUGUACUAACUUAGUACAAAGUUGUACUAAGCUUGAGACACUUAUUUUGGGACGGAGGGAGUAUAAG
rfam:Triticum urartu cultivar G1812 contig369781, whole genome shotgun sequence.